AGAGUUUGAUCCUGGCUCAGAACGAACGCUGGCGGCAGGCCUAACACAUGCAAGUCGAACGCUCUAGCAAUAGAGAGUGGCGCACGGGUGAGGAACACGUGGGAACAUGCCCAGUAGUUCGGAAUAACCAGAGGAAACUCUGGCUAAUACCGAAUACGCCCCGAGGGGGAAAGAUUUAUCGCUAUUGGAGUGGCCCGCGUAAGAUUAGCUUGUUGGUGAGGUAAUGGCUCACCAAGGCGACGAUCUUUAGCUGGUCUGAGAGGAUGGUCAGCCACACUGGGACUGAGACACGGCCCAGACUCCUACGGGAGGCAGCAGUGAGGAAUAUUGGACAAUGGGCGCAAGCCUGAUCCAGCCAUGCCGCGUGAGCGAUGAAGGCCUUAGGGUUGUAAAGCUCUUUCAGUGGUGAAGAUAAUGACGGUAACCACAGAAGAAGCCCCGGCUAACUUCGUGCCAGCAGCCGCGGUAAUACGAAGGGGGCUAGCGUUGUUCGGAAUCACUGGGCGUAAAGCGCAUGUAGGUGGACCUGCAAGUCAGAGGUGAAAUCCCGGAGCUCAACUUCGGAAUUGCCUUUGAAACUGCGGGUCUAGAGACUCGGAGGGGGUGGCGGAAUUCCUAAUGUAAGGGUGAAAUCCGUAGAUAUUAGGAGGAACACCAGUGGCGAAGGCGGCCACCUGGACGAGUACUGACACUGAGAUGCGAAAGCGUGGGGAUCAAACAGGAUUAGAUACCCUGGUAGUCCACGCUGUAAACGAUGGGUGCUAGCUGUUGGGCCUUUCAGGUUCAGUGGCGCAGCAAACGCAUUAAGCACCCCGCCUGGGGAGUACGGUCGCAAGAUUAAAACUCAAAGGAAUUGACGGGGACCCGCACAAGCGGUGGAGCAUGAGGUUUAAUUCGAGGCAACGCGAAGAACCUUACCAGGCCUGGACAUCCCGGUCGCGGACUCCAGAGACGGAGUCCUUCAGUUUGGCUGGACCGGUGACAGGUGCUGCACGGCUGUCGUCAGCUCGUGUUGUGAGAUGUUGGGUUAAGUCCCGCAACGAGCGCAACCCUCGUCCUUAGUUGCCAACAGGUAAUGCUGGGAACUCUAAGGAAACUGCCGGUGAUAAGCCGGAGGAAGGUGGGGACGACGUCAAGUCAUCAUGGCCCUUACGGCCUGGGCUACACACGUGCUACAAUGGCAGCGACAAAGGAAUCAUCCCUAAAAACUGUCUCAGUUCGGAUUGUCCUCAGCAACUCGAGGGCAUGAAGUUGGAAUCGCUAGUAAUCGCAGAUCAGCAUGCUGCGGUGAAUACGUUCCCAGGUCUUGUACACACCGCCCGUCACACCAUGGGAGUUGUCUUUACCUUAAGCCGGUGAGCCAAUCUGGCAGCCGUUCACGGUAGGGGCAGCGACUGGGGUGAAGUCGUAACAAGGUA
rnacentral:rRNA from 1 species